AACGCACAUUGCGCCCCUUGGUAUUCCGAGGGGCAUGCCUGUUCGAGCGUCAUUAUAACCACUCAAGCCUCGGCUUGGUAUUGGGGUCUCGCGGUCUCGCGGCCCUUAAAACCAGUGGCGGUGCCAUCUGGCUCUAAGCGUAGUAAAUCUCUCGCUACAGGGUCCAGGUGGUUGCUUGCCAAAACCCCCUAUUUUCUAUGGUUGACCUCGGAUCAGGUAGGGAUACCCGCUGAACUUAA
rnacentral:misc_RNA from 1 species